ACUCUUCUCAGCUGCUCCCGCAGAUGAGAGUUGCGGCUGGUAGAGGCAGUGCGUGCGCGCAUCACCAAAGCAAAACUGAAGGUCACUGGUAGUGCUGCUGCGUAUUCAAUCAAGUUCAACAAUACAUAAAAACAGGGAGGACGUAUACAGAAAAGGGAGGACGUAGAGAGAUGAGGCGGCGUUGCAUCCAAGCGGUCAGAUGUUGGCAGUGUGGUAUCGUCGAAGCAUGGACUUACCAUUGGGGGCAUGUCAGCCAGCACUAGCAUCAGCCCAAAACCCAGCUUGCAACUUGAAAAUAAGGACAAGAGAGCUGUCAUCACAGCACAGCACUGUCCCUAUGAUACUGUGUUGCUUAACAAGAGAAAUUUAAUCGUGGCAGGGAAGCCUUUGCAGACCUGGAGCAGUGCCACAGCUGCCGGAACUUUGAGCAGGAGGUGCACAGCCUCCAGGCAGAAAAUGGCAAGCUCCGGCCGCUAAACAUAAAGCUGCAGGAGCAGCUGCCUGACAAGCUUGCGCAAGCAGGCAUGGAGGCUACUCGCUGCCUGCCACUGGAUCUGGUCAGCCAAGAUCGAAGAAGACCACCCUCGUCAAGUCUUCAAGAGGACACAUGUGCACCAGUAGAUCUUGGAGGUUCAUCAUGCACUGAGGCGGUGCCUGCGGUGCCUGAAUUGCCUGUGAUGCCAACAGCUCCUGCAGCAUCUGUCUCUAUGGCCACUGCCUUCCCGGACGUGCCUGCCGAAACUGCUGCCACUACUGUGGCGGACUGUUCAUUGAUCAGCGAUGGACAGCCUUUUUCAGGCACUACGGAAGAUCCAGACGAAAGAUGGCAGAAGAAGUAGAGGAAGCCCAAAAAAUAUUAGGCGGUCGCUCUCUCAAAAAACAUCAGAAUUGGGGUGAGGGCGUAAAAAUAAAUGGAUUUUUUAC